GAUGAACGCUGGCGGCGUGCUUAAUACAUGCAAGUCGAACGGACAGACCCUGCGUUUGUUGGUUUCUCGUUUGGCGAACGCGUGAGUAUCACGCGAGUAUCCUCCCCCUGUCUUUGUGAUAUCUUUUGGAAACUCGGGCUAUUACCGGAUAUGAUCUCCUGCUCCAUGGUGUUCGUUGGAAAGUUUCGGCGGUUGGGGAUGGACUCGCGGCUUAUCAGCUUGUUUGUGUGGUAGUGGCUUACCAAGGCUUUGACGGGUAGCCGGCCUGAGAGGGUGACCGGCGACAUGGGGACUGAGAGACGGACCAGACUCGUACGGGAGGCAGCAGUGGGGAAUAUUGCAGAAUGGGCGGAAGCCUGAUGCAGCAACGCCGCGUGCGGAAUGACGGCCUUCGGGGUGUAAACCGCUGUCGAAUGUGACGAAGCGUGAGUGACGGUAAUGGGUAAAGAAGCACCGGCUAACUACGUG
rnacentral:rRNA from 1 species